rnacentral:rRNA from 1 species
UUGAACGCUGGCGGCAUGCUUUACACAUGCAAGUCGAACGGCAGCGGGGGCUUCGGCCUGCCGGCGAGUGGCGAACGGGUGAGUAAUGCAUCGGAACGUACCCAGUCGUGGGGGAUAACUACGCGAAAGCGUGGCUAAUACCGCAUACGCCCUGAGAGGGAAAGCGGGGGACCUUCGGGCCUCGCGCGAUUGGAGCGGCUGAUGUCGGAUUAGCUAGUUGGUGGGGUAAAGGCCCACCAAGGCGACGAUCUGUAGCUGGUCUGAGAGGACGACCAGCCACACUGGAACUGAGACACGGUCCAGACUCCUACGGGAGGCAGCAGUGGGGAAUUUUGGACAAUGGGCGCAAGCCUGAUCCAGCCAUACCGCGUGAGUGAAGAAGGCCUUCGGGUUGUAAAGCUCUUUCAGCCGGAAAGAAAUCGUGCAGAUUAACACUCUGUAUGGAUGACGGUACCGGAAGAAGAAGCACCGGCUAACUACGU